rnacentral:rRNA from 1 species
UACGGAGGGAGCUAGCGUUGUUCGGAUUUACUGGGCGUAAAGCGCACGUAGGCGGAUUGGUCAGUUAGGGGUGAAAUCCUGGAGCUCAACUCCAGAACUGCCUUUAAUACUGCCAGUCUCGAGUCCGGAAGAGGUAAGUGGAACUCCUAGUGUAGAGGUGGAAUUCGUAGAUAUUAGGAAGAACACCAGUGGCGAAGGCGGCUUACUGGUCCGGUACUGACGCUGAGGUGCGAAAGCGUGGGGAGCAAACAGG